rfam:Dipodomys ordii contig_5207, whole genome shotgun sequence.
GGAAAGGUGGUUCAGUGGUAGAGUGCUUGCCUUGCAUGCAUGAGGCCCUGGGUUCGAUUCCUCAGUACCA